UAUUAUGCUCAGCGAAAUAAGCCAGGUGGAGAAAGACAAGUACCAAAUGAUUUCACUCAUCUGUGGAGUAUAAGAACAAAGCAAAACUGAAGGAACAAAACAGCAGCAGACUCACAGAACCCAAGAAUGGACUAACAGUUACCAAAGGGAAAGGGACUGGGGAGGAUGGGUGAGAAGGGAGGGAUAUGGAGAAAAAAGGGCAUUACAAUUAGCACACAUAAUGUAGGGGGCAGGCACGGGAAAGCAGUAUAGCACAGAGAAGACAAGUAGUGAUUCUACAGCAUCUUACUACACUGAUGGACAGUAACUGUAAUGGGGUAUAUGGUGGGGACUUGAUAAUGGAGGGAAUCUAGUCCCCACAAUGUUGCCCAUGUGAUUUUAUAUUAAUAAUACCAAAAAAAGUAAUGGUUACAAUGGCAACAUUUAUGUAAUUUUUACUUAACCACAAUACAAAAUAAAGAAACAGAACUGCACCUGCCCCUACAGUUCUACAGGCCGUUUUUCAGUGAAAACAUGAAGUCUUUAAUGAAAUAAGGCAAAGGGCUUCUCUCAGCAGAAACUGAAAUGCUCAGAACUUGAAAGACCAUUUAUUCUAUUUAUGUAUUUGUUACCAAGUGGCCCCAAGAAAAGCGUGCAUUAUUAUUGCUCAUUAAAGGGGAAGAAGCUCUGUGCCAAGCGCCCUGCCCCACUCAGUUCCCUUCCUGACGGGGCAGCUAAAGUGAAUAGUUAUUUAAGGGCCAGGGCAGGCAGUGUUCCAAAGCGUUCUGAAGUAGAUUUUAAUUUCUAUCCUCAGAGGACUUGCCCCACAGAUACACGCUUAUCUGGGAGACCUCUCGGUUCUGUCCUAGUAGUUAGAACUCAGAUCCUACUGUAUAUAGAAACAGUUUUUCCUCAUAGUUCAGAGUUCAGAAUAAUUAUGUCACUAUCAUGUAACACUUUUCUGGCUAUUAAAAGCUAUGGAAGAUGAUUCAAGAUAAAAUGGAUUAGAUAGGUUUUCUUUUUAAAGUAGAAAAGGUAGAAACCGAAUUCCACUUCAUUAAAACUAUUAUGUUUGUUCCAUUGGGGGAAGGAAAAAGCAAGCCUAUGCACCAGCUUCCCUUCCCUACACUAUGCCUUCCCCCAUCUGACUCUUGUGAGGUUUCAUGGGACAACCAGGUUUCUUGCCUGAUCCCACCUUAAGGAAAACACCACCACCACAAAAGACCCCACUCAGGCCUGGCCAGCCCCACUCCAGAGUUCAUACUGCGUGAGGUCCUUCUUCUGGGGGUGCUGACUCCUUCCCAACGCAGCACUGUUGUUGUUUUCCAUACAGCGAUCAGCAUGUCCUUCAGCACUGCCAGGUUCUGGGUGGCACACAAAAACCACCACUGUCCCUGCAUUCAUAGCAAGAGGGACUGAACUGCUCUGAGUCAACAUUUUCCACAACGGCUUUAUCGUAACAGUCAUCAGAAUCUUUGGUAAAAGUACAGGUUCCCAUGCCCCCGCACAUUGCUAAUGGGAAUGUAACAUGUAUGGCCACUUUGCAGACCACUGGGCCAGUUCCUCCAAGUCUACAGGGACGGUAUGUACAUAUAUACCUAUAUGGAUAAAUCUUGAAUCAUUACACUAAAUGAAUCAGUCAUAAAAGACCUAUAGUGGAGGACUGCAUUUAUAUGGAAUAACCAGACUAGGAAAAUUCAUAGAAACAAGUAGUACACCGGUGGCUGCUGGGAGCUUGGGGGAGGGGAAAUGGGGAGUGACUCCUUAAAGGGUCUGCAGUUUCCCUCUGAGGUGAAGAAAAUGUUUUAGAACUAGUGAUGAUGACUGCACAAUUGUGUGAACGUCCUAAAAGCCACUGACCUGUACGUUCAAUGGAAAGGAUGGAUUAUAUGGCACAGAAUCAAUCAUUAUCUCAGUAAAGCUGUUAUUUAAAAAAUAUUAUGGGUUCCCAGGCUCCACCUUAACUGUUGUACUGAUAGAGUUAACAUCCUAGAUAUCUAACUUCUAAAAACUUUUACCUAUGACUAGGUAAGAGUUCCAUGAUUAAAAAUUCCAAAGGUAAUGCUCUGUUUCAUUCCUGCUCCCACCAUCUGGUUCCCCUUCCCAGAGGCAAAGAAUGCUAUCUGUAGCUUCAUUUUCAAGUGUAGAGCGGCAACUACAUUUUCUUGUUACUGUUUCCUUCUUUUUAUGCCAAGUUAACAUAUAACAGACAUCAUGCUGCUGCAACUCCCUCCCUGCCUGCCUCCCAGCAUGGCUUGGAGUGGAUUCCAUGACUGCACAUAAAGUACAUCUUCAUUUUUUUUUUAUAGCUACUAAGUGGAAUCUAGAUCAUUUGCUUUCUUUUGGGCAGUAAAAUACACAUGACAAAAUUUACCAUCUUAACCAUUUGGUUAAUUUUUUUAAACCAGCUUCUCUAGCGAAUUUUGUAAUUCAACAGGUUUAAAAACCACUGUCCUAUAGGCUGCAGAUACAGGCAGAAUCUGACUUUUUCACAGUGAAUGAUGAGCUCUGAACAAUUUACUCUCUGGACAUUCAGCCAGAAGCAAACAGAAGCAGCCAGCAGCAAAGAGAGUCCACUGGAGUGGGCUGCCUCAUCAUUCCAUUAUACGUAGCAGUGAAGAGCUAGGGAUGCUUAUCAGGCAAUUAUCAGAGAACUUAGGAUCAUUUUCCACCUGACACUGCAAGCUCACCUGUGUUUCAAUCUGGGCAAUUUCAAAGGGUCUGCAGAACACCACAGGAGCACGAUAUUCCAGAAACCUCUGCAAGGACAUGGAGAAAUCAAACCCACCCAAAACAUAGAGCCACUAAAAUUACAGAGUGGUCACCAAAAUAUAUGUCACUAGCAAACCCGGGGAGGAGGGGAGAUGUGAAUGGAAUCUGCAAACAAGAGUUCAGCUGAAGCCACCAGCAGGUACCAGGAGGAAGUUCCACAUUCACCAGCCUACAGUGAGGACAGAUGCCUGCUUUUGGGGGCCCUGCACUCCUAGUGGGGAGAGGGGAUGUCCAGGCAAGAUUUGGACAUUGACUGCAUGCAAGUCUAAGAACAAGCUAAGUGGGACCAAGACUGGCCAGCACUGGACACUGAAAUGCUGAAGGAGUCAUUGGGCCUGAUUCAAUCUCAGCCUGUACAAACAGCUCCAAGAGACAGAACAAAAGGCACUCAGAGUUAAUCAUGCCUACCAACCGGCAUUAGAAAUGAUCACUUUCUGGUUUAAUGAACACCCAGGGUUCACUUAACUCCAUUUCCAGAAAUCCCACACACUAAGCUUAAGGUCUCAGAGAUCUUAAGAGAAACCUCCAAAUCAGAGAGCAGACUGUACAAUCCAGCUAUGCUAAGCUAACAACAACAUUCAACAAUAACUGUAAGAAUUAAGAACAGGAAUAGCAGCUGUCACACCAUCAGUUACAGCCCACCUGGUGCUGUUCUAUGAGCUGUACAUUCAUUAGGUCAUUAAAUCCUCACAACCCUACAAGGUGCCUUCUAUUAUCUCCCUCGACUCCACAUUUCAGUCUUAAGUUUAAUAAUGCUACUAAACACUAUCACCUGAUCAACAACCAACAAAUAUAUAAAAGGGUAGCUCCUUCAAUUUACAUGAAGCAAAUAAGGAGCCUUAAGAGAAUCUGUCCUAAUAUGGAAAGUUUGGACCUAUGGCUCCCAAACCAUGUACCAAGACACCCCAGGGUGUUGCAGCAAACCCACAGGGACACCAUGAUUUUUUUUUUUGGUUUGUUUUUUUUAGGAAAACACAGUGAUGCUCAGCUGUCGAAUGCUGUGCAAAGCACCAAUGUGAGACCAGACUGCAUUACAGUCCCUGCAGUGACAUCUUAUCUUUGCAAAGCUGGGUUUUCAGCAGCUACUGUGAUAAAAGACAAGUACUGUAGAAAAAUCAGCAUGGAAAAAAUAAUUGGUAUGAACCAGGAAAUAAGGGCAGUGGUGUCCAAUCUAGUUCUAAGGUUUGAGACAUUGUUGUAGUGCCCAAUGGGUACACACACUUCACUAGUAAGUAAUUAUGGCUAAGAGUGAAAUAAAAAUAUGUUCUUUUUCUUUCAGUUUAUAUAUAUUGUUGUUUCAAAGGGCUAUUGCAUGUUAGAGCAAAAAUACAUUGUCUGAGCCCGACUCCUUAAUAGACAGAACUGUUAUUUGUGUCAUUUGGCCUGAGUGCACCAUGAAAACUCAUUGAAAGAAGCCACAAUUCCAAGGUGGAAGUCUGGCCAGGCAAUAAGGAGCUCUGGGUUAGCACUUCUGUAACUAUCAGCACGACUGACUUUGCUGUUGGCGCACAGGAAAUCAGAGUAUGCAAAUCUCACAGAAAAAGAGGUCAAUAAAAAGCAUCCAAAGCCUUAAGCAAAGCUCUGGAUUUUAUUACUUUGAGAAACCACCUUCCAUACCCUGAAGAAAAGGGGCAAUAUGGGGCCAGAAGAAUUCCAGAUUAAAAUUGGCAUCUGGCAUAUAAUCAAUGAAUACUGAGAGAACAAACA